GAUGAACGCUAGCGGCAGGCCUAACACAUGCAAGUCGAGGGAGAAGCCCUUUCGGGGGCAGAAACCGGCGCACGGGUGCGUAACGCGUAUGCAACCUACCUUUCACAGGGCGAUAGCCCGAAGAAAUUUGGAUUAAUACCCCAUAAUAUUAUUGGAUGGCAUCAUUUGAUAAUUAAAACUGCGGUGGUGAAAGAUGGGCAUGCGUCCUAUUAGCUAGUUGGAGUGGUAACGGCACCCCAAGGCUACGAUAGGUAGGGGUCCUGAGAGGGAGAUCCCCCACACUGGUACUGAGACAGGGACCAGACUCCUACGGGAGGCAGCAGUGAGGAAGAUUGGUCAAUGGUCGGAAGACUGAACCAGCCAUGCCGCGUGCAGGAAGAAUGCCUUAUGGGUUGUAAACUGCUUUUAUAUGGGAAGAAUAAGGCGUACGUGUACGUUGAUGACGGUACCAUAUGAAUAAGCAUCGGCUAACUCCGUG
rnacentral:rRNA from 1 species